UCCUCUAGUGACUCUUCCCUCCAGUCCAGUGGUGCUCCUCCUGUCACUGUCGCUGUAAUACUCUUCACUUAGGAUCUCCUAGUUGAUUUUGGUUGAGUUAAAAUUACAUUUAUUUUUGCCAUUUAAAUAACCAUGUUAUUUUAAACUCUAUAGAUAUUUAAUAUAAUCAAGAAAAUGAUGCUGCACACUGAAAUUGAAGUAUCUCUGAGUUGAAGUUAAUAUGCAGAAGAUACAGGACACGGAUAUGCUUAUCUAAACAGUCCCUGUCAAGGUGUGGCUCCACACACCCUGCCCUCGCUGUCAGGGCUUCAGGCUCAUCCUGUUGGAACUGUUGACUUCUCUCUCUGGAAACAACAAGCUCCCUCUGGCUGCUGCCUUUCCCUUCUCCCAGUGUGAGAUUCCCCAUUUAUUUGGGCAUCCCUUGUUUUUAUAGUCUGAUCUUUCAAAUCUGCUCUGUCUCAGGUACCCACUCUUAGACUGCAGGUAGUCCUUUCUCCUGUAUGUAAUCUGGAUAAGUCAGGUAUAAGAUAUUCUGGAUCUUUCUUUCUACUGAUAUUACUUUGUGAAGAAUUUUAAAAUAUAUUGUCCAAACAACACAGCUCUACCUCAAGUGGAAUCAGAGAUAGUUUAGUCUAAGCCAACUAUGGAUGACCAUGGCCCAAGAAUGACAUGUUCCACAAUGGAAGGAAGGGGGUCAUGUGAACUUAAUAUAGUAACAGAACAAUUGCAACAAAAUCAUGAAUAAAGGCAUGGACUAAAUGUAGUGGUGGAGACAGUAGGUAGGGAGUAGUAGGGAAGCAGGACACCUCUGUAUCAUAGGUGCUGUCUGAUUUGUGCAGAAAGGCUCUUUUUUUUCCAUCCUAACCUAGCUUCACUAACAAUUUUGCUUUUCCAAAUGUUUUCUAAGUGUGGUGGUCAUAGCUGACAACCUUCAUCUCUAAGUUCUUUCCUAGGGUUGUGAUUGAAUCAUUAAACUGCUCCAGCAGCAAUGCUUGAGAGAGAUAUAGCAUCAUUACUGUGAGUGCCAGAGACACUAGAAAGGCUUUUAUUUAUGCCUUUAAGGCAUGAAUAGUUGUGGGAAGGAGGUAGUUUAGUAGGGAGACAGGUGAGCUUGGAAUUUGGUGUCAGACCUGCACCUGGGUAGUCUAGCUCCAAGAAAGGAAGAGGCAGGGGCCCUUAUGACCUUUUAUGAUUUAUUUAUAUAUUGUACCAUUCAUUGUUUUCUGCUGUUUCCUAUAGGGAGCCAGCUGCCCAGGUUUCUAGUGCUGACCCCUUCUAACAGAGCCUUCUUUCAUAUGGUAAUUUCUGCACUCCCUGCCUUUACCCUUUCUUGGCUUUUUGUUGCUUGAAGCUAAAGGUUUUACUUACUGAUGACAAAGGCAUUAGUUAGGUCAAAUCCAGAAGGCGGACAGUGAUGGACUGAGGAUAGUCAUUAAAAUUUUGCCUUGGUUUUAUAACAUCCCAACUCUCCGCAGUCAGGAAGUCCUUGCCAGAGAGCCUUGUGAAGUUUCAGAAUAAAGUGCCUCUUUCCCGGGAACUUCAGUUCCUAGUAGAUGACUUUUUGCCCUUCCCCCAUUUCCUCUGACUUUGAGACCCUCUUUCUUUGAUGAAGAGGAGGGACAUUGAUACUCUCUUUUUUUGGUGAAGAGGGAGGUAUAUUGACCUAUGACGUAUGGUUCAAGGGAAGAUUGGGGAGGAAAAAUUUUAUUUUCAUGUAUUAAAUGAAAUAUAUUUAAUUCUAAAAUUCAAUGGAAUAUCAAUUUUAUAAAUGUAAGUGAUCGCAGACAAAUUGAUCAUUGACAAAUCAGAACAUUAAAGUUAUUUUUCUUUUUAAAUUUUUUAUUGAUUCCUUUAUACUGUGUGUGCUUCAUUUUGGCACAUUCACACAUACAAAUAGCAUACUUUCACCAUCUCCGCUUCUCUCUUUACUCUCCUGUAUCCCUCUUCUCAUUCCAGGUCCUUUUCCCCCUACCUUUUAGAUGGGCUCUUUGUGUAGCCGACUGGCUUCUAUAGCGUGGGCUUCCAGGCUUGUGUCUCUGUGUCAUUCACUACAUACAGUCUGCUUUAAGAGACUUCAGUGGAGGUCUUAUUACACAGGUAUUGUGUGUGAGUCCAGUGGAACAGGAGAGGGCAACUGUUGCAAAGGUAGUUGAUUUGCUAGUAGCUCCUGAGAGGCAGACUGUCCACCCAACACGAGGCCAUGGAGCCAGGAGAGGCCUGGGCCAAAGCCUCUGUUAUGGUCUUUAUGGAGAGGAUGGGGUAAGCAAGGGUAGGCCAUAUAAGCAAGUGUAUGUCUGACUACAUAUGUGCUUGACUCUUUAAGAAGUGGGCCAGGGCCAGACUCUAUAAGAAGUAUUCACAGUUUAAAUAUUAUGUAACGUGCUUUUUUAAAAACAAAAAACUGUUUUGUGAAUUCUUCCAAGGAAACAUGACCUAAAUUCUAGUUUUUAUCAAAGCAAAACACAACUCUCAUCUCAGAGAGAAUAAGAGACAGAUUAUGAGCCAAAUACGAGUGACCUGGGACAGAGAUUGAAUGUACCAGUGUGUUAACAAUUCAGGAUGUUUUAUAGAGACAGAGCAAAGUCAUAAGUCAAGGCACCUUCCAGAUAUAUUAGUAAGAAUAUUAGGUAUGAGGGUUGAACCAAAGCAGGAAAAUCUAUUGCAGGCCUCAGGCUGUAUUGAAGACAUUUCCCUUUUGGUCAGUAGAAGUCAGUGGUCUCUUGUGUUAAUAGAUUCCUACAAGUUUUACGUGUUAGUUACAAGGAUGUUAAGUCAGGAGGAAUCCCGUGAUAACUUGUGAGUAGGCGCUUGGCCUGUGUCAUCCCAGCCUGUCCAUGAGCACCGAGUUUUCCAUCAGUCACUAGACCUUGCAGGAGGUUCUGUGCAAGGUAUGGUUCUUUGCAGGAACUUUUUUUUUGCUCACGUGGCUGCCUCCCAAAAGUGUGUAAUAGACUUUUUUCAAGGCUUAGUAAAUGGUGUUAAGAAGGUUUUCUUCUUCUUCUUCUUUAUUAUAGAAUUGUGGAGGGAAUUGGAGAGAUCAUGUAGAAAUAUUGAUUACUUAUUUUUAAUUGCUGUCCAUAAGCUGGCUCUCUUAAAGCCCAGUGUUGGAACCACUGUGCAGUGUGCACUGUGAGGUGCUUGCUCUUCAUUCAGGGUGGAGCACAGAGUGCUAAAGGUUUGCUGGCUCCCAGCUGACCUUCGCUUGAGAUGUUAUGCAGGGGGUUGUUCUGGGAGGGCCAUAAUGGCCUUGGCAUUGGGAACCUCUCUUGCUAUAGAAAGGAGAUGAGGAGAAAAGUACCAACCUCACAGAUCUCAGGAGUAAGUCAUGUCCCACAGCAUCAGGGGGACAAAACUAAACUGGAAGGGACUUUGUUUGCCUUUUCUGUUGAAACGGCUGGCUAAAGAUGAGGUGGGAGAGCUUUAUGGUACCAGUGCACUGUCUUUACGGGUUUCUGACUCUCUUGAUAAAACACAGCUUAGAGAUUCAGUUCUUGGUGUUUGCCCAUGUGUUAGGCAGUAGGGCCACUCACAGUUUUGAAGUUUAGAUCCAUUUAGUUAGUUUUAAUAGUUUACAUUUGGCUAGUUAUGUUACAUUAGCAUUGAGGGCCAUUGAGGAUGUAAGGGCUCUGUUGAAGCUCAUUAAAAGCAAGCGGUUUCCUCCUCAUCAAAAGAAUGGCAUCUACACCUGACCCUGGAUGGAGGGAGACAUGACAUUCUGAUCUGCUCCAAAGAUUAGAAUAUUUCAUACUAUUGUCUCGCCCUUGAGAGUUGGGGAUUGUCAGUCACAUGAUCAAAAGACCACCCUUCAAGAAGCCUGGUUCACCAAAAGCCAAGGCAAGGAGGUAGGAAUAAUACCCCCCUCAACUGGACAGUUUAUGUAUCCUCCCACGAGGCCUUUCCUUUUUGUGUAGGCAUUUGCAUAGUUGCCUGCAUCUAGCACGAUGCUCGUUGGCUUUUUGGCUGCCCAGGAAAGUGUUACUUACCUCUUCUUCUUUGGAUCCUGUGCUUUGUUUGCCGAAGUCUGGGCUUGCUUCCUCCACACUCUGUGCUUUCUCACCUCUUCUCGGGAAGCCUCACUUCCUUCUGCCUUAGUCUCUUGCUGUCCCCAUUACCUAAGCUGCUUGAUUUCUUAAAGACAUGGCUUCCUCCUCUCCAUCCUCCUCCUCCUGGCACCUGCUGAGGUCUUCAGCUUGCUGAACCUGCUAAUUUUUAAUCUUUCAAACUCUUAAUAAAAUUGGCCUUGGGCUUGCUUCCAAAUUUGUUUCUGAAUUCUUUCAUUAAUAAGACUAAGAUAUAAAGUAUGAACUUCGAUUUCCCUAUAAUGAUUGUAUUAUGAUUAAUUUAACAUUUUUAGUAAUAUCUUAUUUAGAAUUUAUUAGUUCUCUUAGACCCUGGAGUAGCAAUAUAAACCUUAAUCAAAAAUAGAUUCUGCUAGUUCUUGGUUUGCCCUUUUGGAUCAUGUGAAAUAUUCAGCUUCCUGUGUAAUUAUGUAAGUCACAAAUAAUACUUCGGUCAUUGUUUGACAUCAUGUCUAACUGUCUGGAGCCUAGUGGCUAAAGCUGAUACAGAAUAGAUGUCAUCACAGCCGUAGCACUUUCCCAUUGUCUGCUUGUUCCUUUUUAGACAGGAAUCUGAAGGUAUCUAUGUGGAGCUUAGAGUCUGGGCAUGUAGGAUGGCCAGGAAGUAGGUUCCUACUGUGACCAAAGAAAACAUAAAGAAGACAUCAUUUCAGAAAGGUCAUGACAUUACUAUAUGGUUGUGAAUUUGAGGGGCAGUGCUGAGCAUCUGAUAUUUUACCUACAAGUUGUAUCUGAAUGCUUGGUCUUCAGCCAUGACUUACUGUCAUGUUUGUUUCUUUGAUAAAAAUACCUCCAUAGAAAACAAUAUAGAGGAGAAAGGUUUAUUUUAGUUAACCAUUUCUUUUAAGUCCAUUCUUGUGGGGAAAUUAAGCAUCUAGUCAGAUUACAACUAUCGCCCAGGGCAGAGAGAAAAGCAUGCAAGCAUGCUGCUUGCUUUUGUGUUCAGUUUGAUUUCUUCACUCUCACAGUUCAUGCUGCUGAGCUACUGGUGUAGUGCACAGAGACCAACUAUGCUAUUUACCAUCAUGCCAUACACAGGGCAGCCUUAACCACAAAUGUUGGUCCUGUUGAAAGCUACAGUUUGGGAUGAGAAGCACAAGAUACUCUGGUUUUUCCCGACUACUUGAGAGAGGCCUAAGAGGCACUUGAAUCUCAGGAACAUUGUCAGAGCUCUCAUCCUGAGAAGUGCUCCAGAAUGGAGUUAUCAGGUUAGACAGCAGAAGAACUGGCGAGAGUGGCCAUCAGACAGGAGUAGUGCAGAAGUUUAGCGAUUUGGAAGUGGGUGGCUGGCACCCUGCUUUUAAUAAUCAGUGAGAGUCUGACAGACAUUAAGUAAGACUAUAAAAAACAAGCUUAUUAAACACUGCCGUCUGAAGCAGUAAUCUAAGAACAUGCCCAGAACAGUUAUUGAUGUUCAUGGCAACU
rnacentral:lncRNA from 1 species